GAACAGCUCCUUCAGCAUCCUUAUUUUGACAGCAUUCGGGAGGUAGAACUUGGGAGGGAACGAGAAAGAUCCAUUACACGGAAACCAAACCGGCCACCUCGAAGGCAUGUGCCUGGGCUACAGUAUCUGCCCCAAUUAACCAGCAGCAACAUUUUACCUGCUUUGGAUAACAAGAAGUACUACUGUGGAACAAGAAAACUCAACUACCGUUUCCCAAACAUCUAAAAAAACAAAAAAGCAGAUGUCACAGCUAGUCCAUUCUGUGUCUUCUUGUGCUCCUAACUAUGAAAAAAAAAACUUGGAAGACAAAUACAGUAUCUACACUGGCAUCAGCUAAAGCAAACCACAAUGUUCUGGCUGAAAAAUGACAAACCUUGGGAAGGAAAUAGCUGUCGAAUGCACAGAUACACACACACAAAAUGUGUCAAUGAAAGGUUUGAAAUAAUUUAUCAAAGUUCAUUAGGAAAAUGGUAUUUGGGCCUCUUGGAAAAUUGUAUGUCUAAUUAUCAAGCACUUGUAAUUUAUACUUGUGGGGCAAGAAUUCUUGCCUCUGCUGCAGAGGGAAUUGAUGGAGGGGAUCCAUACAUGCCAAAUAUCUUUCAUUCACAAAAUCCCCUUGUGUCAAAGCAAGAGAGAACUCUUGGUCAUAUACUGGAGAUGUAGUUAGUUUCCUUGGCAGGCUGAACCUGCAGGUUCUUUGUACAAGGGGGUGGAAGGUUGGCUUUGGGGGUUACAGACGAGAACCAGAAAUGCCUGGCUUCGAACUUUUUCUUUAUCGCUGUUUUCGCAACAAAAUAAAUAAAAUGUAAAGAAGCUCUUUAAUUAAACAUUUUGUUUCUUUCAAUUGUAAUCAAUGUUAUUUUUACCCAGAAUAACUAGAAAUAAAAUAAAAUUUUAAUAUGUA